CAAGCCACUUCCCCAUGGCCACCUGGCUGGAAAAUGGCCGAGCCGGGAGUCAGACCUGGGCUGCCUGCUCCCUGAAGCUAUGCACCUGCUCAAACGGCUCACAGGAGCCGGUUAUGAGAGAGGCAAGGAUAGGUGUAGGUCAGGAUGGUCUCCCUUGAAGCCCAGCCACCAUGCUGUAAAGAAGUGCAGACUAGACCACUGAAUAAUAUGAAGCCACGGGAGAGAGGCUCAGGAGCAUAAGAGGCCAUCUUGGAGAUCCCAGCCCCAAUCAAGCUUCUCGGUGAAUGAGUGAGUCCAACCAAUUUCCCAGCUGAGCCCGGUCAGCCCACAGAUUUCAUGAGGAAGAAUAAAUUGUUGUUUUAAGUCA